CUCCUUGGUGAUUCAUAAUAACUUCUCAGAUCGCAUGGCCCUUGCGCCGGCGACGGUUCAUUCAAAUUUCUGCCCUAUCAACUUUCGAUGGUACGGUAUUGGCGUACCAUGGUGGCAACGGGUAACGGGGAAUUAGGGUUCGAUUCCGGAGAGUUAGCCUGAGAAACGGCUAACACAUCCAAGGAAGGCAGCAGGCGCGCAAAUUACCCAAUCCCGACACGGGGAGGUAGUGACAAUAAAUACUGAUACAGGGCUCUUUUGGGUCUUGUAAUUGGAAUGAGUACAAUUUAAACCUCUUAACGAGGAACAAUUGGAGGGCAAGUCUGGUGCCAGCAGCCGCGGUAAUUCCAGCUCCAAUAGCGUAUAUUAAAGUUGUUGCAGUUAAAAAGCUCGUAGUUGAACCUUUGGCCUGGCUGGCAGGUCCGCCUCACCGCGUGCACUUGUCCGGCCGGGCCUUUUCUUCUGGAGAACCUCAUGCUCUUCAUUGGGUGUGUUGGGGACCAGGACUUUUACUUUGAAAAAAUUAGAGUGUUCAAAGCAGGCCUUUGCUCGAAUACGUUAGCAUGGAAUAAUAGAAUAGGACGUGCGGUUCUAUUUUGUUGGUUUCUAGGACCGCCGUAAUGAUUAAUAGGGACAGUCGGGGGCAUCAGUAUUCAAUUGUCAGAGGUGAAAUUCUUGGAUUUAUUGAAGACUAACUACUGCGAAAGCAUUUGCCAAGGAUGUUUUCAUUAAUCAGUGAACGAAAGUUAGGGGAUCGAAGACGAUCAGAUACCGUCGUAGUCUUAACCAUAAACUAUGCCGACUAGGGAUCGGGCGGUGUUAUUAUUUUGACCCGCUCGGCACCUUACGAGAAAUCAAAGUGUUUGGGU
rnacentral:rRNA from 1 species